CCGGGGUCCGAGUAACAGGGUCAGGCGCGGAGAGGAGCGGCGGGAGAGCCAGGAGGGCCGCCCAGGCUAUGUCCUCCUGCGCUGUCGCCACGCUGUCCGGCAGCGCUUCCUGCCCGGGUCUCCCCGUCUGGAGGGUCACGCCGCCUUCUCCUCGAGACACUUCCGAGAGCCGGGCCUCAGCAUCCUGCUGGAGAGUUACUACGAGCAUGAGUCUGACUCUGUUACCUAGGCUGGAGUACAGUGGUGGCACCAUAGCUCACUGCAGCCUUCAACUCCCAGGCUCAAGCCAUCCUCCUGCCUCAGCCCCCGAUUGGAACCAUUAAACGAGGGUUUUCUUUCUAGAAUCUCUGGUCUGCUGCUGUGCA
rnacentral:lncRNA from 1 species